GGCAGAGUAGGUGCUGCGCGUGAAGUGCCGGGGGAUGGGAAGUUGCCUCCGGACGAAAGGCCUUGUGGCCUGCGGUGCGGUACCGCGUCCGCUGUC
rnacentral:ncRNA from 2 species